rnacentral:sRNA from 1 species
AUUUUAAGUUAUAUUUGUUUUGUUAAUAUUGUAUGUUUUUGUGUUUAAGGUUGUAUGAUUGUAUUUUGAUUGUUAAUUUUAUGAUUUCAUCCGUGAUAUACCUUUCUUUAUUAAUAUUGAUCAAAACCCGUCAUCCCAUAUAAAUCCGUCUAUAUUAUCUCGUUAGCUAAAUUAUUAGUGUUAUAAGAUCCAAGAAAAUAAAUUAUUAUUGUUCUAAUUCCAAUAAUUUAGGAUCUCACCCGUGGUAUACCGUUCCUUGAAUGAUUUAAAAUUUAUAUU